rnacentral:lncRNA from 1 species
CGGAUACCUCUCCUAAAUUCAUGCUCUGGCUUAGUCAUUGCAGAUGAAUCACUGAGUGCAACAGCACAAUAUUAGCAGUGAGCCAACAAAGGGAUAGAUUGUUGGAGAAAUCCUCGUGAAGAGUUUUGAAGUUGACAAAAUGUUUCCGUCAGUCUAGUCUGAAGGUUUGCAGACUCUGUUAGUUAAAGUCUGAAGACUUCCGGAUAGCCAGACUCAAGACUCAAAGUCUAUCCUCAUUGACAGUCUCUGAUCCGUUGAAGAAAGGUUAUCCCGAACUGGAUGUUUUGUUUAGGAUUUAACCUUAUCAUCUGGAGAAGAUCUCGUGGCUGGAGAAGACGUAUCAGAAUCCUUUCGAUUGAUCAAAUUUGAUUCAAUGACUGAAGAUUCGAUGAUUGUCUAAAUAUUAUUGGAAUGUUCUACUUAUGGAAACCGAGAUCCUGAUUGUAUGGGCGAAAAGGAUUGAUGGGCUAUCAACACGUUCCUUUAAUAGCUCGAACGAUCUUCCUAAUUGAUUCCGUCCAACGGGUAGAUUGGAGGAAUUCCUUUGGUAAGUGCCAACGGGUAUGAUGGCAUAAAGGAGUAUAUAAGGAAGACGUUCUUAGUUGUUUGAGGAGUGCGCGAUAGAAGAAUUCCAAAGUCUGAAGCUCCUAUUUGUUUAGAUAAAUCCUUUGAGCGAAUACUUGUAUACAAAAGAGAGUCUAUAUUUGUAAGAGACCUUGAGGAGGUGUGGUAGUACAUCUACACUGUGGAAUCAAGGCAAAGCUGUGCUGUAACUACUCUUUUGAUCAUAGUGAAAUCCAGCCGUUGGGCUGUCAGUGCGGAAGAGUGGACGUAGGCUUGGAAAAGCUGAACCACUAUAAAUCCUGUGUUACAAUUUCUCUCUUUCUACCUUGAUCGUAUUUCAAUUUGUUAAGAAUUGCAUCCGUAUAUCGAUAAAUUGUUUGUGCGCCUAUUCACCCCCCUCUAGGUGUUUAUACUAGCAAUAUCAAUUGGUAUCAGAGCCUGUGUACUUACUUUAUUUGAAGUGUUUUACUUCAUAGUAAAAGAUCUAUGGCUAGUAUGUUAGCACCGGGGCUGAUGGAAGGGCAAAGCAAUACCAGACCACCCUACUUUGAUGGAAAGGAUUACAACAUCUGGAAGAACAAGAUGAAAGCUUUCUUACGAUCAAAGGAUCCUCUGGAAUGGGACGUUGUAGAAAAAGGAAUUACUCCUACCACUGCAUCAGUCUCUGAAAGAGGAAAAGAAACUGAAGAAUCCAGCGGAAUGUCUCAGGAAGAGAUAACCAAGAGACAAACACUCGAUGCAAAAGCAAUUUACUCCUUAUAUUGUGCUUUAUCACCAACUGAAUAUAAUAGAAUAUCUUCUUGUGGUACAGCAAAAGAAGUUUGGGACAAAUUGCAUAUCACCUAUGAAGGAACAGAUCGAGUGAAGGAAACAAGAAUCAACAUUCUUCUCGGUCAAUACAAAGCCUUCAGAAUGAAACCAGGAGAAUCAAUAUCUGACAUGUUUAGUUGUUUUACAGAUAUUGUGAAUGGUCUUGAAAAUCAAUGUCAACCAACUUCUGAUCCCAUGAAGGUAAACAAGCUACUGCGUGGACUCUCCAGGGAUUGGAAUCACAUAAAGACUUUGAUAAGAGAGACGCAGAGAAUUAUGCCACUAUCUGUUGACGAGCUGAUUGGAACUCUUCAGUCCUAUGAAGUGGAAAGGAUCAAUGAAGAUGAAGAUCCAAAAGGUAAGAAAUCCAUUGCAUUAAAAUCAAAUGAUGAUUCUGAUGAUACAAAUUCUGAAGAUGAUAUGGACGAUGAGGAGCUUGCUCUCAUGAUAAGAAGAUUCAGAAAACUAAACAUAAAAGGAAGAAGGUUCAACUCAAAGAAACAAGGCUUUCAAAGACAGCAGACCAAGUCUGUUGAUGAUGAGGAACCAAAUAAAGAUGUAGUCUGUUUUGAAUGCAAGAAAAAGGGACACAUCAGACCCAACUGUCCUCUUCUAAAGAAGAAGAAAGGAAAAGCUGAAAAAUUUCGAAAAGCUCUCAAAGCUGAAACCUGAAGUGAUACUGAGUGUGAAGAAAGUGAUAAUGAAUAUGCCAAUCUAUGUCUGAUGGCACAAUCAGACUCAGACUCUGGAUCAGACUCAGGAUCAGACUCAGACAGUGAAUUUGAGGCAAGUAAUUUUAAAAUUCCUGUUAAAGUUUCUAAAUAUAUUGAUGAACUAUGCUUUAGUCUUAAGACUUCUCUCAAAAGAAUUUCCAAACUGAAAAAAGAAAACUCUGCUCUAAAACAAAAAGAAAAUGUUUUAGAAGAAAGAGUUAAAAGUCUAGACGUGUCUAUUUCCAAUCUUAAAGAAAAUGAAGAAAAUCUUUUUAAAGAAAAUGCUUUUUUAAAAACAGACUUAUCAAAUAUAUCAAAGAAAUUUUCUAUAGGGUUUGAAAAAUUUGAGAAAAUUCUUUCAGCGCAAAGACCUUACUUCAAUAAGUCUGGUCUAGGUAUGACAGAAGAAACAAUUCCCUUGAUUGAUUUUCCUAAAGUGAAAGAAAGAAUCAAGAAAAGGCUUUCGAGUGAAGUUUACAAAAAUCACUUCGAAAGAGUUUUUGUUAAACCCAUAGGAAGAAAUGCUCUCAGAUGUUCAAAGUGCAACAGUCCGGAUCACUUUGAAAAAGAGUGCCCUAUGGUAUGGAAACUUGUUAAGAAAAUAUGGGCUAAUUCUGUUUAUCUUACUAACACCAAAGGACCCAAGAAAAUUUGGGUACCAAAGAAAGCUUGAGACUUUAUUUUAAAUGCAGGUCUCCGUCAAGAAACAGGUAAAGUGGUAUCUUGACAGCGGAUGCUCAAGACACAUGACAGGAGACUCAAAUUGUUUUAUAAAGCUUGCUCAAGUAAAUGGUGGAAAAGUUUCAUUUGGAGGAAACAGCAAAGGAAGUAUUAUGGGAUUUGGAACCGUGAAAAUUGGUACUCUCACAAUAAGUAAUGUCUCCUUAGUGGAAGGACUCAAUUACAAUCUUCUCAACAUUAGUCAAUUGUGUGAUACUGGUUUCAAGAUAUUCUUUCAAGAAGGAACAUGUUCUGGAAUCAGUAAAGACUCUACUCAGUCUUUCAUGGGUCGAAGACAUGGAAAUAUCUAUCUUCUGGAUGUGAAACCAAAUGAAUCGCAAUGUCUUAUCUCAAUUCAAGACGAAGCAAGCUUAUGGCACAAAAAGCUUGGUCAUGUCAACAUGAAGCAAUUAGCCAAAAUCUCAUCAAAGCAGCUUGUUCGAGGUCUACCAAAAUUACCAUACCAAAAGACUGAUUCAUGCACUCCAUGUAUUCUGGGAAAGCAGGUAAGAAAUUCUUUUAAGCCAAUAAAUCAUGUCUCUACUAAUCAUGUUCUACAGUUGCUGCAUAUGGAUCUCUUCGGACCAACCAGAACUCAGAGUAUUGGGGGUAAGAAGUAUUGCCUAGUAAUUGUUGAUGAUUACUCCCGUUUUACUUGGGUAUAUUUCCUUUCAAGUAAGUCCGAAACCUUUUCGUAUUUUGAAAAAUUUGCUAAAAAGGUUCAAAAUGAAAAAUGUUGUGUUAUCUCUAGUAUAAGAAUAGAUCAUGGAGGUGAAUUUGAAAAUCAAGAUUUUACAAAAUUCUGUGAUGAAUCUGGCUUUAAGCAUGUGUUCUCCUCUCCAUAUACUCCUCAGCAAAAUGGAGUUGUGGAAAGAAAGAAUAGAACUCUUCAAGAAAUGGCUAGAACUCUUUUAAUUGAAAUUAAAAUUUCUUCUCGAUUUUGGGCUGAAGCUAUUUCAACAGCUUGCUAUAUCAUCAAUAGAGUCUCUUAAGAUCUAUUCUUCAAAAACCCCUUAUGAGUUAUUCAAAAAAAAGAAGCCUAUUGUUUCAUACUUUCAUGUAUUUGGUUGUAAAUGUUUUAUACUGAAAAAUGCAAAAGAUCGAGUUGGUAAGUUUGAAGAAAGAUCAGAUGAAGGUAUCUUCCUUGGAUAUUCUACAUCAAGCAAAGCCUUCAGAGUCUUUAACAAAAAGAUCCAGUCUGUGGAGGAGUCAAUGAAUGUCAAAUUUCAAGACUCAACACAAGAUGAUUCAAGUCAGACUCAUCAAGAAGAAUCUGAACUUGCUCCAGACCCUCCAAAGUCUACAACUCAAGAAGCAUCUCAGACUCUGGAAAACCAGCAUCAGGUUGUUAGUGAAGAUCCAAAUAAAGAAAGAGAUCAUCUACCAGACAAAUCAACGAGUAACUGGAAGCAUAAGUCCAGUCAUCCCAAAGAUCUUAUAAUUGGCGAAAUUAAUGAAGGAAUUCGCACAAGAUCCAAAAGGCAAGAAGAGUCUAGUGCUGUGGCACUCGUUUCUGAAAUUGAACCAAAGAGCAUAGAAGAAGCUUUAUCUGAUGAAAGCUGGAUUGAAGCUAUGCAAGAAGAGCUCAGACAGUUCAGCAUAAAUGAUGUCUGGGAAUUGACAUCCCAACCAAAAGGUAAAACUGUUAUUGGAGCCAAAUGGGUGUUCAGAAACAAGAUGAACGAGAAAGGAAAAGUCGUACGAAAUAAAGCAAGACUCGUGGCUAAGGGAUAUACGCAAGAAGAGGGAAUAGACUAUGAUGAGACUUACGCUCCAGUGGCAAGGUUAGAAGCUAUUCGACUAUUACUUGCUUUUGCUUGUUAUAAGAAUUUCAGGUUAUUCCAAAUGGACGUCAAAAGCGCCUUCCUAAAUGGAUUUAUCCAUGAGGAAGUUUAUGUGGAACAACCACCAGGGUUUGAAGACCCAAAGAAGCCAGACUCAGUCUUUAGACUGAAAAAGGCUUUGUAUGGUUUAAAGCAAGCACCUCGGGCUUGGUACGACAUAUUAAGUAAGUUCCUAAUCCAAAAUGGUUUUGUCAAAGGUAAAGUGGAUACAACUUUAUUUAUCAAGAAGGAAAACAAAAGUUUCUUACUUGUUCAAAUAUAUGUGGAUGAUAUUAUUUUUGGAUCAUCUAAUGAAAGUUUGUGUAAGAAAUUUUCAAAGUCUAUGCAGGAUGAGUUUGAAAUGAGUAUGAUGGGAGAGUUAACAUUCUUUCUUGGUCUUCAAGUAAAACAAUUGAAGGAAGGUACUUUUAUUUAUCAAGAAAAAUAUGUUAAUGAUCUUGUCAAAAGGUUUGGACUGGAGAAGUGCAAAAAGACCGACAUACCGAUGUCAAGUUCUUUAAAGAUAGACAAAGAUGAAGAAGGGAAGAAAGUUGAUCAAAAGCUAUACAGGAGCAUUAUUGGAUCACUUCUUUAUCUUACUGCCUCUAGACCUGAUAUUUUGUUGAGUGUUUGCACCUGUGCUAGGUUUCAAUCAGAUCCUAGAGAAUCCCAUCUCAGUGCUGCCAAACGCAUCAUAAAAUACGUUGAUUCAUCAUCAAGCAUCGGUCUUUGGUAUCCUAAGAAGGGAGACUUUAAACUUCUGGGAUAUUCAGACACAGAUCUAGCCGGUUGCAGAGUUGAUAGAAAGAGCACUUCAGGAACUUGCCAGUUGCUUGGAAGCAGAACAAUGUCUUGGUUUUCAAGGAAACAAAGUACUGUGUCUCUUUCAACAAUAGAAGCAGAGUAUGUAGCUCUUGGAAGCUGCUGUUCGCAAAUUCUAUGGAUAAAACAACAGCUAAGAGAUUUUGAAAUCAAAGACUCAUGCACAGAGAUUAAUUGUGACAACACCAGCGCUAUCAACCUCACCAAAAAUCCAAUUCUCCACUCAAGAGCGAAGCAUAUAGAAAUUCGACAUCACUUUAUUAGAGAUCAUGUUCAAAAUGGAGAUGUUUCAAUUCAAUUUGUUGACUCAAAGAAUCAGCUGGCUGAUAUACUCACGAAGCCUUUGGAGAAAAAUCAAUUUGAGUCUAUACGGUCCAGACUCAACAUUUUGAGGUAUGAGGAUAUCAAAGUCUAAAGACUUUCAGACUCAGGAUUACAAGACUUUAUCUACAGUCUUGGCUCGACCUUCAGACUGUAAGUCUUUCUCUCUCCAAUCUUAUCUUGAAAAGGUACGAUCAUAAGACUUGUUUAAAUUGUUGCUAUAUUUAAUUGACACAAAUAUUGCAUCGAUUCAUUUUCAAAAGGGAAGUUAUUUUUGAAAUAGCUAUUUUUGCGGAUAAAAACAGUUAUUUUGAAAAGGCAUAUUUUUAUUUCCUUUAUGACGGUUCGCUUAUCCUUCUUUUUAACCGAACGAGCACUGUCGAUUUCUCUUCACUUUUCUACUCACUUUCCUCUCAAAAACCCUAGAAAGCAUCGAUCCUCCAUUCCCGUUUGUCUUCUUCGCUAAAUCUUCAAAAAGUUGUCAUCUUUUCUGGGAAAGUCAAGCAAAGGAAUCUUCCAAACACUGAGAAAGAUGUCUUCUUCGCGAAAGUCUUCAAGAAUCGCAAACAGGGGACCACAGAGAAUGAGUGAGGGGCCUACGCACUUCGAUCUUAUUGAAGAUGAAGUUACUCCAGAUCAGCAACCGAGCCCACAACAUUCUCAGCAGCGUCAUUCUCCACCAACUAGUCCUCAAGGCGUUGUUGAUCAGCAUCAGGAAGAAAUCAUCGAGGAUGCAGACCCCGUAAGAGUUCAAAAGCCCGUUUUUAUUUACAAGCUAUAUCGUGCUUUAAAAGGAAUUCGUACUCCUUUGAACUAUGUUGAUGAAUUUCUUAAAGACAAAGGAUAUAGGAACGAAUAUAUCUUUCUGCGAAAAAUGGAAAGUUUGGGAAUCGCUCGUAAAGGGGUGGCUGAGGAAACCCUUGCGAAUAUCCCAAGUGAUCCUCGUGACUGGGGGCCAAAUCCUGUAGAUGGGAAUGACGAUGACAAUCUGUUCAGUCUAUUUCAACCGAAAAUGGGUAUUGCGGCUGAAAUUCAAGGAAAAAGGGGAGAUUUGUUCAGAUCAAAGGAACAAAAAGAUCUGUACUCGAAAUUGCUGAAGCGUGGGGUAAUAAACCCUAGAAGUGUGGACUUUGAUUUUCUGGAUGCUGUGAAAGUGAAUUUGAGGGAAAAGUUCAGUACUCUUCAACUUGAAAAGUUCUUCUCUGACUCAACAGAGGCUUAUGCUGAAUUGACUGCAUAUUUCUAUUCAAAUCUUAGCUUUUUAGAUGCGAAUAGAUUUUCCUUCAGCAUUAAAGAACAAGACUAUGUUGUGGAUAUGAAUAUGCUGGCAUAUGUAUUAGAAGUUGAGAGAGGCAGAUUUCAACCAAUCAAAGUUUCCAUUGCUCGGGCCACACUUGAACUGGUGAAGGACAGGAGAACGGAUGAGAAGAUCACCUACUCAAGGAUGAAUGCAUUCAACAUCUUGCUUCACAAGACUGUGAUUAAUUGCCUUCGGCCGAAAUCAACUUCCAAAACUGAUGUUUCAAGCUCUGAGGCAAAGUUGAUGUAUGCCAUCCUCAGUGGAAGGAAGUUCUCUCUCCCUCAUACUGUUAUGUUUCACAUGUAUAGAGCAGUGAUGAAGGACAGAGGUCAACUCCCUUACCCAAGCCUUGUUACGAAGUUAUUCAGACAUCUGAAUAUUCAGCCUCCGCAAAUAUUUUGUGUUCGAUCAUGCGAUCAUAUGGUGGUAGGACUGAAAAUGGUGACCAAAAUGCGUCUGAAGGAACUGAGCAAGGAAUUGGAGAAAUUCAAGGAGAAGACUCCUGCCAAAUCUCAUCAACUCUCUUCUGCUGCUAAGAGAAAAGGGAAGGAGCCCAUGGUUGCUCCAUCAAAGAAAAGAAGAGCUCUCCUCGUUGAGGAUGAAGAUGAUGACGAUGACAUCACCAUCUCUACAAUGGCUUUAAAGAACUUAAGUCGUCCUGUUCCACAGAAAGAAUCAGAACAAAAGACGAAAGAAGCAGAGGAGAAGGAAGCAGAUGAGAAGGAAGAAGAAGAAAGAGAAGCAGAGCAAGAAGCAGAGGAAGAAAGACCUGAAGAAGAAAGAAAAGAAGAAGGAGAACCUGAGGAAAUCUCUUCUCCACCUGUAGGCAUGGAAACAGGGGGAGAUAAGGAGAAAGGAGUGACAUCUUCACAUCCAGAUGCAAGUGAAGGAGUCAGUCGCUCGCCUACAAACCCAGAAGAUGUUUAUGCAUCUCAAUUUCCAGAGGAAGGUCAUGAAGCUUCAUCGCCAAACCUGCGAGAUUAUGCUGAUCCACCAUUGUCUGCUUAUACUCCAGAUCGAGCCGAAGCAAGUACUCAGACUGAUAAUGGAGCAGAUUUUCGCAGAAUCAUGGAUAUUCUCUUGGAGAUGAAAUGUCAGAUUUAUGCCUUGGGAUGCGAAGUUCAAAGCUUGAAGAAUGAAGGUCAAGCUUCUUCAUGUUCAUUGAAUGAAAAGAUGCAAGCCCUCUCUAUUCAGAAUCAGGCCAAUGCCAAGAGUGAGGAGGUUGUACAGCUGAAGGAAGACUUUAAAAGGCUGGAAGGCAUUGUUCAGUUUAUGGAAGAUUUCCAGCUUAUCCGCGUUCCCAAGCAAUCUUGAUUUCAUCUCAUCAUUUUUAAAUGAUGACAAAAAGGGGGAGAGAUGCAUGAUUUGAUCAAAAACCUUCUUGAUCAAAAACCUUCAAUCAUUUUUUAACUGUUUGUUGGAUUGUGUUUAACUGUCUGUUUUUGACAGACUUUGACUUUGUUUUGUGUCUGGAUAAGAACUGCCUAGACUUGGACUUGACUUUACUGCUUCUAUUAAUCAAUAUUGAUAUCUUAUGAAUGGCUUAAUCAUAUACUGGACUAACCUAUUUUCUGUGGUUGCAGAUUCUAGUGUUAUUCUAUUAGCCAUUUAUUUCUAUAAGAUAUGCAUAUGUGGUUGAGAAAUGUUUUGCAGGUCAAAGUUAUCCAAAUCUGCAGGAAGGUUUUUUCACCAUAAAAAAGGGGGAGAUUGUUGGAGAAAUCCUCGUGAAGAGUUUUGAAGUUGACAAAACGUUUCCGUCAGUCUAGUCUGAAAGUCUGCAGACUCUAUUAGUUAAAGUCUGAAGACUUCCGGACAGCCAGACUCAAGACUCAAAGUCUAUCCUCAUUGAUAGUCUCUGAUCCGUUGAAGAAAGGUUAUCCCGAACUGGAUGUUUUGUUUAGGAUUUAACCUUAUCAUCUGGAGAAGAUCUCGUGGCUGGAGAAGACGUAUUAGAAUCCUUUCGAUUGAUCAAAUUUGAUUCAAUGACUGAAGAUUCGAUGAUUAUCUAAAUAUUAUUGGAAGGUUCUACUUAUGGAAACCGAGAUCCUGAUUGUAUGGGCGAAAAGGAUUGAUGGGCUAUCAACACGUUCCUUUAAUAGCUCGAACGAUCUUCCUAAUUGAUUCCGUCCAACGGGUAGAUUGGAGGAAUUCUUUUGGUAAGUGCCAACGGGUAUGAUGGCAUAAAGGAGUAUAUAAGGAAGACGUUCUUAGUUGUUUGAGAAGUGCGCGAUAGAAGAAUUCCAAAGUCUGAAGCUCCUAUUUGUUUAGAUAAAUCCUUUGAGCGAAUACUUGUAUAUAAAAGAGAGUCUAUAUUUGUAAGAGACCUUGAGGAGGUGUGGUAGUACAUCUACACUGUGGAAUCAAGGCAAAGCUGUGCUGUAACUACUCUUUUGAUCAUAGUGAAAUCCAGCCGGUGGGCUGUCAGUGCGGAAGAGUGGACGUAAGCUUGGAAAAGCUGAACCACUAUAAAUCCUGUGUUACAAUUUCUCUCUUUCUACCUUGAUCGUAUUUCAAUUUGUUAAGAAUUGCAUCCGUAUAUCGAUAAAUUGUUUGUACGCCUAUUCACCCCCCUCUAGGUGUUUAUACUAGCAAUAUCAUCGAUCUAUGCAACUUUCUUUAUAGUUACGAGACCUUACAAUUGCUAAGUGAAACUUGAUAAACCAAGACAUUAGUUAUCAUCAGAUCAAACGUUAAGUUCAGCAGCUGCACCAAGUGCUCAAAAUCACAGUCAAACAAGUAAAAAGGCAAGAAAACUUUUGUACCUGCAGAUCCCUGGACAGCUGAAGCACAGCUGAUGAUACAGAGCAGAACCAGCUGGACAAGGAUCACUUGCAUCACCACCCCCAAAUCUCAUUCAACACCAAAUCCCAAUCCUUACAACCCCAGCUCCUCAACGAGGAUCUUGAUAACCAAUAAAACCCAAAUACAGUAUCGAAAAGAAAAUAAUUCAACUCUACAAAAAGAGAAGAUUGCUAAAUCA